UCUUCAUAUGCCGCCCAUGGGAACUCCCUCUGGCCCACCUGGCCUCUCACACGCUGAAAGGCUGCAGAGUGACAGGCCGGCAACUGGACUCUGAUGUUUAUUCACCAAACACAGAGACGGCCCUCCAGGCCUCUGCUACCUCAGGGAAGAGGGGUCACCAGCCCACCCCCAGGCCAGGAUCCCAGCACACUCACCUCUGGAGACUGGCCAUGAGGAGGAGCAUCCAAGCUGCUCCUGCAGCGAGAGAGACUCUGGUUAGACACAAGGAAGAACUAGCUGCCACUGAGGGACAUUCAGCUCAGAGAGAGAAGCGGAAUCUCCUGAAGUGCCAUGGCAUCUUGGAGGUGCUUUACGUGAUCCUGGGGCUGGGAGAUUCUGCAUGGGAACUGAGCUGGAGAAAAGAUCAUUCAAGGAAGAUAGCCUCGUCUUUUGGCGGUCACUGCACAGACUCUGUCUUUAUAGUGCUUAAAUAAAAAGCAGGAGGUUUCAUAUUUAAAUUGUUUAUCUUCGGCUAGUUCUUCUACAGAGCUUUGGGAUGAAUUCAUUCCGAAGGCAAUAUUUUCUAAAUUACCAGGCUGACUCUGAAGCCGACUUUGUUUUGCUUUUGGUUUAUUCCUAAAUGUAAUAGAAUCCCAAGUGUUAAUCUCCAGUUGAUACCUAACCAUCCUCUUCCACUAUGCUGUCCCGGUGGGGAUUUAUGACUGGGUGAUGAGCCACCACGUCUCUCUGAACCCCGAUGAGGACAUGGAUAACAUCAUCAACUCAUCACUGAACCAUCGUCAUCAACCCAGCUUUAAUCCCCAAGACUGAUAACCAUCGGAGGCUGUUAAUUCCCAGCAAAUUAUCUAAUCCACAUGUUGUCCGAUCUGUGUAAACCCAGCCCAUGAGGAUCAUAAAAUAAAUAAGCAUGAAAUGGC